GAAAUGCGAUAAGUAAUGUGAAUUGCAGAAUUCAGUGAAUCAUCGAAUCUUUGAACGCACAUUGCGCCCUCUGGUAUUCCGGGGGGCAUGCCUGUUCGAGCGUCAUUACAACCCUCAAGCUCUGCUUGGUAUUAAGCCUCACCUGAAAAGGCGGGCUCUAAAAUCAGUGGCGAUGCCAUUCGGCUUCAAGCGUAGUAAUUUUCUCGCUUUGGAGUACCGGCUGUGUGCCUGCCAUAACCCCAAAUUUAUCAAAGGUUGACCUCGGAUCAGGUAGGGAUACCCGCUGAACUUAA
rnacentral:misc_RNA from 1 species